UGGUCAACAAGCCUUGUCAUACUUGAAACUAAACAUCCUCGGCUAUGUCAUUUUAUACUUGUAGUAAAUUUGAUUGUAACUUGGUAUUUUAUUGUUUAGGAGUAUAUAUUACUAACAUUCCUUCAUUUUUCAUAGGUGUUGGAUAAAGGAAAGAAGUAGAUAGUGAAUGCACCAAUUAUUCGAAAAUCUAAGCCUCAAAAUUAUUCGGUCAUUAAAAAUUUUCAGAAAUUUAUGGAUGGUUGUCUUAGUAAUGAGAAGACAUACCCAAUACAGCUCCCCAUUUCACUAUUUGGUGUCGAAUUUCGAACAUAUAUAUCUAGAGAGGAUUGUGAAUACAUUAUUUCAUCUUCAGAGGUGUCAUCAAAAUGCAUCUCCUUCCAUUUAUGGUACAUGCAUGAUCAACUACAUAUUGCCAAAAAGGAAUCACAAUUUAUAUUUGCUAAUCCUUUUACAAUAUCAUGAGCAGGCUUUAGUAAUCCUCAAACAGAGAAAAGAACACAAUUGUUGUCAAAACACUUAAUAGAGUGCCAAGAUGUCGGAUAUGUUUUCAUGCCCUACAACCCCGACUUUCAUUGGGUCUUGGUAGUGAUUGAGCCAAGUAAAAUGAUAGUCCACUAUCUUGACCCUGUGCAUCACGAACCAUGUGAGGACUUAAAGGAUAUCGUAAACAUGUAAGUUCUUCCUAUUAUUGUUCAUAGUAUUAUUUAAAAAAAAAAUUACAUU